AGAGUUUGAUCCUGGCUCAGAUUGAACGCUGGCGGCAUGCCUAACACAUGCAAGUCGAACGGAAACGAUGGGAGCUUGCUCCCAGGCGUCGAGUGGCGGACGGGUGAGUAAUACUUAGGAAUCUACCCAGUAGCGGGGGACAACUCGAGGAAACUCGAGCUAAUACCGCAUACGCCCUACGGGGGAAAGCAGGGGAUCUUCGGACCUUGCACUAUUGGAUGAGCCUAAGUCGGAUUAGCUUGUUGGUGAGGUAAAGGCUCACCAAGCCUAAGACGGGUAGCUGGUCUGAGAGGACGAUCAGCCACACUGGAACUGAGACACGGUCCAGACUCCUACGGGAGGCAGCAGCAGGGAAUAUUGCACAAUGGGCGAAAGCCUGAUGCAGCGACACCGCGUGCGGGAUGACGGCCUUAGGGUUGUAAACCGCUUUCAGGAGGGAAGAAAAUGACGGUACCUCCAGAAGAAGCUCCGGCCAACUACGUGCCAGCAGCCGCGGUAAUACGUAGGGAGCAAACGUUGUCCGGAUUUAUUGGGCGUAAAGGGCUCGUAGGCGGUUCAACAAGUCGAUCGUGAAAGCCAGGGGCUCAACCCCUGGAGGCCGGUCGAAACUGUUGUGACUAGAGUUCGGUAGAGGUGAGUGGAAUUCUCGGUGUAGCGGUGGAAUGCGCAGAUAUCGAGAGGAACACCAUUAGCGAAGGC
rnacentral:rRNA from 1 species